rnacentral:rRNA from 1 species
GAUGAACGCUGGCGGCGUGCCUAAUACAUGCAAGUCGAGCGAACAGACGAGGAGCUUGCUCCUCUGACGUUAGCGGCGGACGGGUGAGUAACACGUGGAUAACCUACCUAUAAGACUGGGAUAACUUCGGGACACCGGAGCUAAUACCGGAUAAUAUAUUGAACCGCAUGGUUCAAUAGUGAAAGACGGUUUUGCUGUCACUUAUAGAUGGAUCCGCGCCGCAUUAGCUAGUUGGUAAGGUAACGGCUUACCAAGGCGACGAUGCGUAGCCGACCUGAGAGGGUGAUCGGCCACACUGGAACUGAGACACGUUCCAGACUCCUACGGGAGGCAGCAGUAGGGAAUCUUCCGCAAUGGGCGAAAGCCUGACGGAGCAACGCCGCGUGAGUGAUUAAGGUCUUCGGAUCGUAAAACUCUGUUAUUAGGGAAGAACAAAUGUGUAAGUAACUAUGCACGUCUUGACGGUACCUAAGCAGAAAGCCACGGCUAACUACGUG